rnacentral:rRNA from 1 species
AAUAGAUACCCGGUAGUCCAUGCCGUAAACGUUGGAACUAGAUGUAGGGCCGUGUUCCACGGGUUCUGUGUCGUAGCUAACGCAUUAAGUUCCCCGCCUGGGGAGUACGGCCGCAAGGCUAAAACUCAAAAGGAAUUAGACGGGGGUCCCGCGACAAGCGGCGGAGCACGCGGAUUUAAUUUCGAUGCAACGCGAAGAACCUUACCAAGGCUUGACAUAUAGCAGAACACCGUAGAAAUACGGGACUCUUUGGACACUGUUAUACAGGUGGUGCAUGGUUGUCGUCAGCUCGUGUCGUGAGAUGUUCGGUUAAGUCCGGCAACGAGCGCAACCCUCGUCCUAUGUUGCCAGCACGUUAUGGUGGGAACUCAUGGGAUACUGCCGUGGUCAACACGGAGGAAGGUGGGGAUGACGUCAAAUCAUCAUGCCCCUUAUGUCUUGGGCUUCACGCAUGCUACAAUGGCCGAUACAAUGGGCUGCGAUACCGCGAGGUGGAGCGAAUCCCGAAAAAGUCGGUCUCAGUUCGGAUUGGGGUCUGCAACGUCCCG